rnacentral:lncRNA from 1 species
CAAGGAGUUUCCCGCAAGUGCAUAACGGUUAAUUUAGGUUUUACCCAGUCCGAUGGCCCUUAGAAAUUGUUUGCACACAGUGGGUUUUGAACUUGAGACCUUGAAAAGGAGUAAACCCCAAGGCUCAAGUCAAUUGCCACCAGGCCAAUCCCUGAGGGUUAGUUGGCAACUGUUUCCAGUGUAACUUGUAACCAUAAACACUCAAACUAUUUCUAAUAGUUCAGUUCUCUUCAGAUGCUAAUAUGUGACUAAAGCAACUAGCCAACAUAAAUAUGCCAAACAUGUCUGGCAGAAGAAAACAAUGGUGAAAUACUAAGUGAAAACAGAAUCACAGCUUUUGUUGUCAUACCCCGUUACUGCUGCAUCUUAU